AGUGAACGCUGGCGGUAGGCCUAACACAUGCAAGUCGAACGGCAGCACAGUAAGAGCUUGCUCUUACGGGUGGCGAGUGGCGGGCGGGUGAGGAAUACAUCGGAAUCUACUUUUUCGUGGGGGAUAACGUAGGGAAACUUACGCUAAUACCGCAUACGACCUACGGGUGAAAGCAGGGGAUCUUCGGACCUUGCGCGAUUGAAUGAGCCGAUGUCGGAUUAGCUAGUUGGCGGGGUAAAGGCCCACCAAGGCGACGAUCCGUAGCUGGUCUGAGAGGAUGAUCAGCCACACUGGAACUGAGACAUGGUCCAGACUCCUACGGGAGGCAGCAGUGGGGAAUAUUGGACAAUGGGCGCAAGCCUGAUCCAGCCAUACCGCGUGGGUGAAGAAGGCCUUCGGGUUGUAAAGCCCUUUUGUUGGGAAAGAAAAGCAGCAGGUUAAUACCCCGCUGUUCUGACGGUACCCAAAGAAUAAGCACCGGCUAACUUCGUG
rnacentral:rRNA from 1 species